AGAGUUUGAUCCUGGCUCAGGAUGAACGCUAGCGGCAGGCUUAAUACAUGCAAGUCGAGGGGCAGCGCAGUGUAGCAAUACAUGGGCGGCGACCGGCAAACGGGUGCGGAACACGUACGCAACCUUCCCAAAACUGGUGAAUAGCCUUUCGAAAGAGAGAUUAAUACACCGUAACUUAAUGAAGUGGCAUCACUUUAUUAGUAUAGCUCCGGCGGUUUUGGAUGGGCGUGCGCCUGAUUAGGUAGUUGGCGGAGUAACAGCCCACCAAGCCUACGAUCAGUAACUGGUGUGAGAGCACGACCAGCCACACGGGCACUGAGACACGGGCCCGACUCCUACGGGAGGCAGCAGUAAGGAAUAUUGGUCAAUGGACGCAAGUCUGAACCAGCCAUGCCGCGUGUAGGAUGAANGUCCUCUGGNAUUGUAAACUUCUUUUUAUCGGAGAAGAAACCCCUANCCAUUUCUUGGCUGGGGUUUGACGGUUACCCNGAUUGAAUAAGCACCGGGCUAACUCCNGUGCCNAGCNGCCGGCGGNUAAUACGGGAGGGGUGCCANGCCGUUUAUCCCGGGNUUCACUNGGGNUUUNAANGGGUUUCGUNAGGNUGGGGCUUUGNAACGUUCCGUGGGUUGAAANNUUCNAAAGCUUUANCUUNGGNAAACCUGGCCCGGGGGNUUACNUAAUNANGUUCCUUGGAAUUAUUGGU
rnacentral:rRNA from 1 species